AUUGAACGCUGGCGGCAGGCCUAACACAUGCAAGUCGAACGAGUGGCGGACGGGUGAGUAAUGUCUGGGAAACUGCCCGAUGGAGGGCGAUCACUACUGGAAACGGUAGCUACUACCGCAUACCAUCGGAUGUGCUCAGAUGGGUUUAGCUAGUAGGUGGUGUAACGGCUCACCUAGGCGACGAUCCCUAGCUGGUCUGAGAGGAGGACCAGGCAAACUGGAACUGGGACACGGUCCAGCCUGCGACGGGAGGCAGCAGUGGGGCAUAGUGCGGAAGGGGCGGAAGCCGGAUGCAGCCAUGCCGAGUGUAUGAAGAAGGUUUCCGGGUUGGAAAGUCCUUUAAGUGAGGGGGCGUUUCUCUCAGACGAAUCUCCGGCUAACUCCUUGCCUGCAGCCGCGGUAAUAC
rnacentral:rRNA from 1 species